ACCAAAGUGAAGUGCUAGUGAAGUGCUCACACAGAUUGUCUGAUGAAAAAGCAAGAGCAAAAGCGCACCUGUUGAUGAUGAGUCUCUGACUCAUGCUGAUGCGGAACGAUUGAGCCGGAAGGCUGAGUCGGAUUUCGUGUCCCCAUCGUCUAGAGGCCUAGGACACCGCCCUUUCACGGCGGUAACAGGGGUUCGAAUCCCCUUGGGGACGCCAUACCGAUAAUGAGUGAAAGGCAUUAUCACCUGAAUAUCUUAAAGAUGACUUUAACGAGUCGUGUUUAAGAUAUUGCUCUUUAACAAUCUGGAACAAGCUGAAAUUUGAAACGAUACAGCUGAACAUAUCUCUCCGUGCAGUACUGAGAUGUGAUUUAGUUGUAUCAGAGUCUCUCAAAUAAUCGCAGCGCGAAGUGUUUUACGAAACACCUUCGGGUUGUGA
rnacentral:misc_RNA from 1 species